UACGUAGGGGACGAGCGUUGUCCGGAUUUACUGGGCGUAAAGGGAGCGUAGGCGGACUUUUAAGUGAGAUGUGAAAUACCCGGGCUCAACUUGGGUGCUGCAUUUCAAACUGGAAGUCUAGAGUGCAGGAGAGGAGAAUGGAAUUCCUAGUGUAGCGGUGAAAUGCGUAGAGAUUAGGAAGAACACCAGUGGCGAAGGCGAUUCUCUGGACUGUAACUGACGCUGAGGCUCGAAAGCGUGGGGAGCAAACAGGAUUAGAUACCCCUGUA
rnacentral:rRNA from 1 species